AUUGAACGCUAGCGGGAUGCCUUACACAUGCAAGUCGAACGCGUGGCGAACGGGUGAGUAAUGUCUGGGAAACUGCCCGAUGGAGGGGGAUAACUACUGGAAACGGUAGCUAAUACCGCAUCCCAUCAGCUGUGCCCAGAUGGGAUUAGCUAGUAGGUGGGGUAACGGCUCACCUAGGCGACGAUCCCUAGCUGGUCUGAGAGGAUGACCAGCCACACUGGAACUGAGACACGGUCCAGACUCCUACGGGAGGCAGCAGUUGGGAAUAUUGCACAAUGGGCGCAAGCCUGAUGCAGCCAUGCCGCGUGUAUGGAGAAGGCCUUCGGGUUGUAAAGUACUUUCAGCGAGGAGGCGUUACUCGCAGAAGAAGCACCGGCUAACUCCGUGCCAGCAGCCGCGGUAAUUC
rnacentral:rRNA from 1 species